ensembl:lncRNA
UUUCUGGAAUAUUAUUAAUACUAUUUUACAUGCUAAAUAAUUCUUUGUUACAUAAACCUUUAUUUUUGCAUUUCUGUAGCCUAUUGCUUUUCCCCAAUACUCAGUUUUUAUUGAUAUUAUCUUUUGUCAUUUACGGGCUUAUAGAUGGACAGACAAACAUUAUCAUUAACUCAAUGUAGAGAGCAUCUGAUUAUUUCGACAUUACAGAAAAUACCAUGGCAUGAAUGGUGACAUAUUCAGACCUGUGAUAAUGACCUAUUAUAUCCACACGGGUAAUUUGUGAGCAAUAAAUCCAUGGAGAUGGAGCUUUUUUAUCACUUCACCCUCAUAAAAUGGUGCGUCAAUGUAAUUUCAGUAUACAGAUCUGGUGGGUUGUUCUAGGGAUCCUGUUUGUAAUAUAUAGGAAAUCCGACAUGAAAGAUGGUAUAAAAGUGGAGAGUGAAAGUGCCAAGAUAUCACAUUCUGAACAGGUCAGUACUGUAAUUUUGUCUAAAACAAUAUAUGUUUACAGUAUAUCUGCAAUUGACUUGAAUACUUUCAUUUUCUUUUGUAAAUGUAGUUUCCCUAUACAGUAACAAAAACUUGUUUUUGUUACUGUAUAGAAUUGUAAGAAUUAUAUUAAUGCAUUGUUUUAUUUUUUGUUUUAUUAAAGUUUUUACAGCUCUCUGAGUUUAUGUUUGGUGAUUAAUAUCUGAGCCAUGUAUAGAAACACUCUUAUCUUUCUGAUCCUGCUGCAUUUAGUGGUCUUCAGUACAAACACUACUACUGAUACGCAGUUGACUGAAGAUACAUCAGUGACGACUGUGAGCGCUGAGUCUGACUCUACACACGCAAGCCAGUCUUCUUCAUCCAUAUCCAUGGAUCCGGUCACUACACCGGUUCAGACCAACAGCUCUGUCAGUGAACCUUCUGAAGACCCGCAAGGUUUAACAUCAGGGGAGAUCGCAGGUAUAGCUGUAGGAUCCAUCGCUGGGGUGGCAGCUCUGGGUGGAGGGAUAUAUGCUGGACUGAAGUACACUGGCAAACUGGGUGGCUAAUUUGACUCUAUCUGAACCAACUGUAUUUCAUCAAACCAUAAUCAUCUGAUUAACAUUAAUUUUUUUAUGUAGCUCUGUGUCAACUGACAAAAUGGUACAAAAAAUCAUUAUAAUAGCUCUGACAUGAACAUGUUGAUGGACAAUGGGAGUGGUAACUCUUUUCUGAGCCAUUUUUGACAUGAGUGAAGACAUUUCUCCACUAGUUCACAGGUUUAGUUCAUCAUAUUAAUUAUGAACAAGAUCCACUAAUGUUUGACUUCCGCAAAGGGUCACAAUACUUCUUUUGAACAGUUUUGUAUUUUGUUUUAUAUUUGUGCUAUUUCAAAACAACAACAGCACAUUGUCUUCAUGUUGAAAUACUGUAUUUCUCAUUAAUAAUAAUCUACAUAUAGUCUCUGUUUUUGCAAAGUUAUUAUUUUAUGACAUGGCUAUGAGCAGCGAUGAGUUGGCACAGACAUACUGUGGUGUCGUUUAUGAUAUGCCUGUAUUUUCUUUAUGUAAACAUAAGCAAUAAUGUAUUCUGGGAAACCACAAAGCAUUGGUUGUUAUGUAUUUGUGUAUGUAACCACAGAAUUUAUGAGUUAAUCUUUGAACGAACUGAUAGAACAGCACAUAGAAGGAAGGAUACAGUCACACAGCAGGUGAAAGAGCGCUCUAUCUCUCUCGCUAUCAAAACAGAACAGCACAUCAAAUAUUUAUCCCUCCCUCCAGCAACCGCUUUAUAAACACUAUCCAGUUUAAUCCCACAUGCUGUGCAUCUCUGAAUGAACAGGAAGAUACAGACAGAGAUAGUCAUCAGUUGGCUCUGAACUGCAACACUAAGAAAGUGUAUCGGUGUGGGGAAAAGUGAAAAAAAAAUUGAGAAGGUGUUACAAAAGAAAGAAAGAAAGAGCCCUCUCCAGGAACACAAUGUGAGGGUUAACCAAGUAACCAACUAUCCCUGCUAAGUGUGUCCCAAGGGAUAAAAUGUUUAAAAGAGUAUGCCAAAAGUCCCUGGAUGGUCUACUAUUUCAGGUCGAUUUUUGAAGCGUGGAUCCGUGCACACUCUAAUGGCUAAUAUUGUCCACAAUCCAUUGCGCUUUGACGAAUGAUUCGGUUAAGAACUACAACCACAAAUAAAAAUCAUUAAAAAAAACUACA